rnacentral:ncRNA from 1 species
UUAAAGUUUUAUUCUUGCUUAAUUACUUAUUUUAUUUUAAUGUUAUAUGCAAGGUUUUAUGUUUUGAUAAUUUCUUAAUGAAUUAAUUAAAUUAUUUGGUGCAGUAAUGAAUAUUAAAUAUAAAGGGGAUUUUGAUUUAGUUAUUUUUAAUAGUGUUGAUUAAAUAUGUGCCAGCAAUCGCGGUUAUACAUAGGACACAAAUAAGUAUUUUUAGUUAUAUAGUUUAUUUAUUUAAUUUAAUUUAAUUUGAUAAUUUUUGGGUAAAAUUUAAAUUUUUGUUUUUGUUUUAAUUUUGUAUUAAAUGAGGCUAUGAAAUCUAAAUUAUUUAAACUAGGAUUAGAUACCCUAUUAUUUUGGAUUUAAAAGUUUAAACUUGAGUAGUAUUAGGUAUGGUCUUGAAACUUAAAGAAUUUGGCGGUAUUUUAGUCUAGUUAGAGGAAUCUGUUCCAUUAUCGAUAAUCCGCGUUGAACCUUACUCAGUAUAAUUUAAUAUGUAUACCGCCGUUUAUUUGAAGAUCUUUUUAGGGUUAAUUUUCUUUAAAUUUUAAUUGAUUUUAUUUCAGGUCAAGGUGCAGUUUAUGAUUGAGUGGAGAUGGAUUACAUUAUUUAUAAAAUAAACGAAUUAAAAUUUGAAAGUAUUUUAUGAAGGGGGAUUUAAUGGUAAUUAAUAAUAAGAAUUAUUUUUGUGAUUUUAGCUCUAAAAUGUGCACACAUCGCCCGUCACUCUCGUUAUUAAGAUGAGAUAAGUCGUAACAAAGUAGGUGUACCGGAAGGUGUAGCUAGAUUGAU